UGAGCGCCAACCUGGUGGGCACACUGGAGCGGAGGAAGGCACUUGGAGAUGAGGAAGCCAAGGGUGAAGAAUAAUGAUCCACAGCACCAUAAAGUGGCCGUGUUCAUACUUAGACCCACGUCUGGGACAAGACCCACCUUCUUAACCACCAGGUGCAGUGGUGCCCAGCCAUGGUUUCAUUGAACAGCCCACAUGAGACAGAAGCACCCCUGCCUGGAGAAGCUACCCCGCCAUGCCCACCGCACCCAAACCAACAACACAGAAGGUGAUGUUAGGUUGUGUUAAAUGUGUCGAGUGUGUUAUUGCUUCUUGCUGCAGUCCCCGACAUCUUCAUAAGCAGUAGAUGCUUCAAGAAAUCAGGUCUUCCAGAUUUCUCGUGUCAGGCGCAUGAGGAGAGUGGGGAAGGGCGGCGGAGGUGGGCUAGGCGUGCUCUUCAAUCGCAUGCUCUAAGCUGUUCUCUGGCCUCGCACAGGGGUCUUGCUUGUAGAAGGAAAUAAACAUACAGCUCUUAGGGCUCGAGGACCUGUCUCAAGUUCCCCGCUUUAUAGGCAGUGGAGAAGGUGGUUCACACCCAGCUCUGCGUCUUACCAGCUGCAUGGCCCUGGACAAGUCACUUAACCUCCUCGACUCCAGUUUUCUCAUCUCUAAGACACGGACAGUGAUGGAACCUACCUCACAGGCUGGUGAUGAGGACUAGGUAGAUGUACAAAGCUUUCAGACAGUACUUGGCACGUGGAAAGUGCCAACAAAUGUUACCUAGGAAGAAUUGGUAGUAAGUCCAUAAUAA
rnacentral:lncRNA from 1 species